AUUCCUGUAGCGCAAAUGCUGAUAGCGCGUUGGACUUCUAAUCCAAAGUCGUAGGUAACAGAAUCCUACCUUAGAUA